rnacentral:misc_RNA from 1 species
AGGAGGUCCUAAAUACAGAGGAGACCAAAAAUGGAAGCUGAAUAUGGAAAAUCAUCCUCUGUAAAGACUCCAUUGAUAGAUGACCGAGAAAAACAGAGUAUUCUCGAUGGAGAAAGAAAAAAUGGUGGUGGUUUUAGCAAGGAAGAGAUUGUUGAGGAAGUGAAGAGACAAGUAUGGCUAGCAGGACCUUUAGUGAGCGUUAACCUUUUGCAGUUUUCUU